rnacentral:rRNA from 1 species
CGGAGCUUGCUCUGGUGGCGAGUGGCGAACGGGUGAGUAAUAUAUCGGAACGUACCCUGGAGUGGGGGAUAACGUAGCGAAAGUUACGCUAAUACCGCAUACGAUCUAAGGAUGAAAGUGGGGGAUCGCAAGACCUCAUGCUCGUGGAGCGGCCGAUAUCUGAUUAGCUAGUUGGUAGGGUAAAAGCCUACCAAGGCAUCGAUCAGUAGCUGGUCUGAGAGGACGACCAGCCACACUGGAACUGAGACACGGUCCAGACUCCUACGGGAGGCAGCAGUGGGGAAUUUUGGACAAUGGGCGCAAGCCUGAUCCAGCAAUGCCGCGUGAGUGAAGAAGGCCUUCGGGUUGUAAAGCUCUUUUGUCAGGGAAGAAACGGUGGGAGCUAAUAUCUCCUGCUAAUGACGGUACCUGAAGAAUAAGCACCGGCUAACUACGUGCCAGCAGCCGCGGUAAUACGUAGGGUGCAAGCGUUAAUCGGAAUUACUGGGCGUAAAGCGUGCGCAGGCGGUUUUGUAAGUCUGAUGUGAAAUCCCCGGGCUCAACCUGGGAAUUGCAUUGGAGACUGCAAGGCUAGAAUCUGGCAGAGGGGGGUAGAAUUCCACGUGUAGCAGUGAAAUGCGUAGAUAUGUGG